rnacentral:rRNA from 1 species
UACGUAGGGGGCGAGCGUUGUCCGGAUUCAUUGGGCGUAAAGCGCGCGUAGGCGGCUUCGCAAGUCGGCCGUGAAAUCUCCCGGCUCAACUGGGAGGGGUCGGGCGAGACUGCGAGGCUCGAGGUGGGCAGAGGGCAGUGGAAUUCCGGGUGUAGUGGUGGAAUGCGUAGAUAUCAGGAGGAACACCGGUGGCGAAGGCGCUCAUCUGGCCCAAUACUGACGCUGAAGCUCGAAAGCUAGGGGAGCAAACGGG